ACUCAAAUGAAUAGACGGGGGCCCGCACAAGCGGUGGAGCAUGUGGUUUAAUUCGACGCAACGCGCAGAACCUUACCCGGACUUGACAUCCUGGGAACCCCGCAGAGAUGUGGGGGUGCCCGCAAGGGAGCCCAGAGACAGGUGCUGCAUGGCUGUCGUCAGCUCGUGUCGUGAGAUGUUGGGUUAAGUCCCGCAACGAGCGCAACCCUCGCCUUCAGUUGCCAGCAUUGAGUUGGGCACUCUGGAGGGACUGCCGGUGUCAAGCCGGAGGAAGGUGGGGAUGACGUCAAGUCCUCAUGGCCUUUAUGUCCGGGGCUACACACGUGCUACAAUGGCCGGUACAAAGGGUAGCGAAGGCGCGAGCCGGAGCCAAUCCCAGAAAACCGGUCCCAGUUCGGAUCGAAGUCUGCAACUCGACUUCGUGAAGUCGGAAUCGCUAGUAAUCGCGGAUCAGAACGCCGCGGUGAAUACGUUCCCGGGCCUUGUACACACCGCCCGU
rnacentral:rRNA from 1 species